GGACUGAGAGUUUAAGGAGAGCACCUGGAGCAGGUCAGCGUGCAGCUGAAAUCGUUGAAAGUCCUUAAGGAAGCAAGUUGGAGCAAUCUGAGCAAGGUUGUGGCAUGGGCAGCUCGUCACAUUGCCUCAACCCGUGUGAGAGGCCUCCUGGGGGCCCUGAAGCACUGACGGGGCUUUCUGGAGGUGAUGGCUUGGAUGCCACUGGCUUCUUGUCCCCUGCCUGUGGUGUAGCACUCAUUGAAUCUGGAGCCUGGGGUUUGGGCUCGUUUCCAUCUGCCAAACUCAGUCUGAAUCAAGCACAAAAAGACAGACCGUAAAAUACUUCAUCUUCCCAGAAGGUAUUUUCCUUUGUUUUACUCAUCUGUAGUGAAUUUAACAUCCGGAGGCGCUCAGCAAAAAAGCUGGGGGUCAGGGAGAAUCGGGCUGGCUUGGAGACCCUGCACGGAUGGUGAAGCUGAAGCCCACCAUGGCUCGGCGUGUGAGCUGGGCUCGGGGCUGCAGCGGUGCUGGGACCUGGGGUCUGCUUGCAUCAGGGACCUCUCGCCUGCCCAUGCUGCCUCCCAGCCCUUGCUCCCUCCUGUAGCAUCUCCCUGCCUAAGCAGGGAAUGAGGAACUGACUUCUGCAAGUGAUUAACUAAUUAAAAUGCACUAGGACAAUUGCAAUUGAGUGUCUGACUAUAAGCUUCAGCUCUAGCUUAAUUAGUACAUAAACCUUGCUUUACGCCCUGUGCAAAGGAGUGAAUUUAAUACACUUGGAAUUGUCUGUUCAGCCUACCAAGGAGGGUACCAGCAGGUCACUGCCACCGAUGCUGCUCCUCACCCCACUGGGCUGUGAUCAGUCAUUGACACCUUACGGGGCACCGAAGGAGUUCAGUGGUUUUAAGUCAAUAGGGACUGGGCUAGGAGAGCACUCGCCUAGGUGGUGGCAUUAUAUGGUGGAACAGCCUCAACCAGCAGCAUGAGAAAUACAUUUGUGUUGCUUGUGAUCAUACGUUUUUAGCUAAAUUAAUCACUGCACUAAAGCUAGUUUUGGUUCAACAGAACUCUUCCAUGCCAUGCUUAUUGUGAGUUUGACCCUCUGACUUCGUGCAAGCUCGGUCUGUGAGUGUUGGUUAUGGGGAGAAGGAAGAAUUACCUAGCUACUCGUUAGCACUGGGGGCUUUGCAGCAGAGCUGGCUGGGCAGAGACAUUUGGUGGCUUUUGUGAAAUAUUUGGGGGUUAACUUGAUAAGAAUUGUGUUUUCUCCAACUUACUAACAAAAGGGAACUGGAUAAGAAAUCAUUCCAGUUGGAACAAAACAUUUGCUUCAUUUGUGGUCUUUGUUGUUCAGUGUCCUAGAAAGAAAUUGGGUGAUAAAAUACCAUUUCAAAAUAAAACAUCACAACGUUUCCGCAUGGAAAUUUGAAGUGGGGGAAGGAGACCAGCAAGUUGAAGGGGAUUAACUCAGUGCUAGCUUGUGCCAUAUUUCUGGUUGACCAGGAUCUGCAUUUUUGAACAUAAACACCUGAGCCCAGCUGUACCUGGAAGAGGUAACCUUGCUUGGCACAAGCUCCUUGAUGGACCUCGGGUGAGCCACUUGGCUCGUUAGACCUCAGUGAAAGGCAGUUUCAGAAGCUCAGGGAAAAAGCAUCACAAUCUGUGUUUUCCAUAUCAUGUUUGUAUCUAAUCUAAAGCUUUUGUUUACAUCAGUUCAUUUUGGUUUUGACCUUUUCAUCCUUAAUUGUUUUUUCUCUUUUUAAAUGAAGUUAAAUUUUGAAUCAGCUUAAACAGAAAAUUAGAGCUUUUAAUUAGUAAACUGUUGAAAGAAGAUGUUCCAGAGUACAGAACAUUUUGAGCACCUCAAAUUAUCAGUGGGUCAAAAAGGGACCUUUUCCUUUGAAAAAUUCUGGUUCCAGCAUUUCUCAAUGGGGAAAAGAAAAGGGGAUUACAUGGACAAGCUUUAAAUAUUUCUGGUACCUGUAGCAGCUUUUUCGAACCCCUUCACAUGCUUCACUUUUACCCUCCCACACACACUGCUGAGAAACAAAUCCUUUGGAAAUGGAAAUCAGGCUUGAAGUAAACAGAUUAGUAAUGGUUAUUUGGUAACACUUUAUUAAUUAAAUGUCCUAAAUACAUUUAAACCUAGGCAUUUAAUUUAGAUUUAUAAGGAUAAUUUAGAUUUAUAAGAAUAGUUAUUAUAUGUUACGUACAGUAAAUGCCAAUUGAUUUUUAUAGACAAUAUUUACUGAGGUGUAACCACACUGCAAAAUCUAAUUAUCUUCAUACUUUGUUAAGAGGA